rnacentral:lncRNA from 1 species
AUGUGUCCUGACAUCUACAGUGCCCCCCAUGCUGGAGCAGUUGCUGUGGAAGGCCCUGUCUACUGGCAAGGAAGAUGGUUAAUUCUUCCAAGCAAUGAAGGCCCCACCGAGUCCUGGUUUUGGUGUGGCCUGGCCUCCAUGGUGCGCCCCAUGCUGGUGGACAACUCAAUAUGGAGCAGUUGUCGUGACAGGUCCAUUGCUUGCUGGCAAGGAAGAUGGGCAGUUCUUCUGACCAACAGAGGCCGCGUUGAGUUCUUGAUGCGGCAUGGCCUGACAUCUGCAGUGCACCCCAUGAUGGCAGCUGGCUCAGGACGGGGCAGUUGCUGUGGGAGGCACAGCACCUGUUGGAAAGAAGAUGGUCAAUUCCUCCAAACAACAAAGGCCACGUGGAGUCCUGGUUUCAGUGAGGCCUGGCUUCCACAGUGGUCCUGGUGCUGGUGGGUGGCCCGGAUGCACGCUCACUUCAUCUGCGCCUCCCUGGUUGCAUUGGCUUGGAAGGAAGGCCCUUGUUCAAGAAGGAUGGUCUUCAUCUUGUGUAAUCUUUGGAGAUGCCAUGGGCCCCCUGGAUAUAUGGUCUGGGCUCCUUCAGAGCCUUUUGGAUUUCUCCUGAAUGGGCAGUUGCCUUGA